GAAAAAGGCUACUGGAUCCUGUAAAAAUUUGCAAAAGCUGCUCAUUGAGAAAAGAGAAUUUUGGCUGCCCUUGGCAACAACAUGGGAUUAUGGAUUAGGAAUGGCAGUAACUGUAAAAUGUUACAUUUACAGGGGAAAAGCAGCCAGUGUCCCUGCUGAGCCAUGAUUUACAAGACUGCAGAUUCUAAAAUUCCUCAACCACAAGAAAACCAACCUACUUGACAGGAGGAUUUUUUCCCUCCCUCUACUUGCUUUUGCUGCCAACUGCUACAUCUCAUAUCUGGGAAAGAACAGGUGUGUGAAAAUACUGGAUUUGGCAAAUAUUCAUUUCAAUCACACGUAUUUGUGUAAUUU